CUGUAAGGUAAGUGAGGCAGAAUAGCUUAGGGGGGCGUUCACAGCAAUGUAUCUUUUACUGUAAUACACUUUUAGAACUUUAAACAUUCACCAUAUUUUUCUGUCACAGCACAUUAUAGUCACAGGAUUUUAAGGGUAGAUGGAAGUGAGGGUCAGCCUAGUCCCACCGCUCUUUAUGGCUGCCUAGAAAACAAAAGGGUAGUGAUGUCUGCACGAUGUGACCCGGAGGUGAGGGGCCCAUGGGAAGGAGAUUUCCAGAGCUGUGGCGCAACCUCAAGCCCAGGAGACUCAGACCCGGACACGUAGCUCCCCCCACCCUUCCCACCUCAUCCGAAAGGGGGAGCAGAUGGUGCCUGGCUCCCACUGUGAGGACCCAGCUGCCAGCCUCAGGGGAGCAAAGGAAGAGCAGUCUUGGCGGCAGGGAGCCUGCGAUGUGACUGCUCUGGCAGCUGUGGGAUUAGUGCUCUGCUGGCUCCCGGCUCCCGGGGCAUCUUGUGCCCAGUGAGGAAGCAGCCUGGGGUGUGGGCUCAUCACUUUUCGAUACAAGGAAGGCAACACCGAGUGACAGGACGGCGACCGCUGGGAUGAACAGGGUACAUCCCGGGACUGGGUCUGUCAGAUGCUGCUGGCUGCAGAGCCCAUCCUCCCCAGGGAUGCAGGGGUACAUCUCUUGCUACACUCCCUUUACAGCCGCUGCAGCAAGUCUGUCACAGCCAUGAGGUCCCUGCUGCAGCACAGCCACGGACCUUUGGAGACACUGCGAACCCCUGGGGGUCAUGGAUGGGACCGCAGGCCGGGGAAGGAACAAAAGCACUCAUGCAGAAUACAACCAAGACUGGUCCCAUCUGGGCCCUGCAGCCUGUGCCUGGACGCGCCACUUGGAGCUGCCGCGGAGCCUCAUGGAGGGAGACGGAAGGACUCUGACGCACUUCCGGGAGACACGGCUUGACCUGGAAGUUAAUCAUCGGCUCUUCAACCUCAAUCUAGGAGACUUUGCGUCUGGGCCCUGACACUGACUCAGCUUCUCUGGGCUUCACCCACCAUCUCCAUUUCCAGUGACAGCUGGGACGGUGUCCCUCCUGGUAACCAGGGCUGUCAGAGCCCUGGGUACUCGGGUGAACUCAGUGCCCACCCUGUCACCUACCUGCUUCUACUGAUUAUCUGUUUCCCCUCUUGAUGAAGGCAUGUUUGUCAAAGGAAAAAAUAUACAAUAAGGGUAAACAAAAUGUUUAAAAUGCAAAACAAAUCCCCACAUGCAGAAAUAACAUUUGUGUACUAAUAAUUAUGAUAUAUUGUGCAUUAUAUAUCACGGAGCUUACUUUAAAUCACCAAUUUUUAUAAAAAUUAGCAAUAAAAGAAUGUUUCAUAUGCCUGAAUAUUCUUCUACCCACCUACAAUCUUAGCACUCAGGAGGCUGAGACAGGAGGAUCACCAUGAGUUCUAGGCCAGUUUGAGCUACAUAGUGAGUUCAGUGAGUUCAAGGCCAGCCUGGACUACACAGCCAGGCCCUAUCUCAAAAAGAGAAAAAAAAAAAAAAAAGAUAGGAAUAUAAGACUUAUUUUUACAAAGCUCCUCUAAGUAAUUUUUUACGUAAUACACAUCGAAGGCGAGACAAUUACUAGCACAUAAUUCUCCAUUCAUUUCCCUCCAAAAUAGCCUUAAGCUCUAGUCCCUUGUUUCACACUGUGUUCCAGGGUGCUCCUUUUCAAAGUACAAAUUGCAAACAAUUAACACAACAAACUGGAAUCCAUAGAGAACUCCAGGGAAGGGUUUUCUCCCACCCAUGAAUGGGCCCCUUCUUUGUCAGUGUGAGAAGAAAGAGGCUUUGAUGCUCCACUGCAUGAGAUAUGACUACAGAAUUGUCCUUGAUUAUUAUUUCUGAAAGCAGGAAUAAAAGCCCUUUGGAGAUUUGAUUUGGGCAGGGACAGACUUUCAAAGUGGCGCUGGGCUCUAUGCUCACCCAGGCAGCAUGGGCCUAAGAUUCUCCUAGGGCAGCUCGAUUUCUGUCUGCACAAGUUCACAACGUCUAGAAAGUCAGAAACUAUUUCUCCCCCCAGGAAGAUGAUAUUUUUGUCCCUAAUCCAAUCAAUGUUCCCCUUACCACAAAAUUUUCUUUUAGUUUGCUGAAUACAACCCUAAAAAAUCCAGCUUUAAACAGAACUCUGUUAGCAAAGUACUAGGCCUUACUUGUACAAAGUCCAAGGUUACAGUGUACAAGCUACAGGGGACAUUAAGACAAAUUAGAAAAAAUUAAAACUCUAAGCCAGGCCCACGGGAUUACACUGCCUGUAAUCUCAAACACUCAGAAAGCUGAGGCAGGAAGAUUGCUAUGAGUUCGAGGCCAGCCUGGGUUACAUAGUGAGUUCUAGGGCAGCCUGAGCUACAUACUGAGACUUUAUCUCAAAAAACAAAAAGAAAAAAAUCAAACUCUAAACUCUUAACAGUUUCAGUACAUGAGAGUGAGGAUUAUUCUUCUGAAAAGAAAGCAGUAAGUCUUUUAAGCUAUCUGCUCUUUCCCUGAGAAGUCACAUCAGCCACCGCCUAUGCAAUUCCAAUGUAAACACUGAGUCAUAAAUACAAAACAUGGUUUUCCCACUAAGUUCCGUCUCCCAGAGGAGACAAUUUAGUGAAUGCUACACGAUUUAGAGCUUUUAAUCCUGGCAUAAUGCGUCUGAGGACGUGAAGUCUUCAACGUGUCUGACUUAAAUGUUCUAAUUCAUUCUGGGCCUAUGAGCUGAGUCAAAGGCACACUUGGGUCCUCUGAACCCGGCCCUCCUCAACACAUGAGCAGGAACAACGCUCAG
rnacentral:lncRNA from 1 species